UUAAUUAAUGUCAUACCAAAAUAUGACAAAUAGGUGCCGUUUAAAUGGUGGCAACAAAAUACAAAGUGCAAAUUAGGUUAAUGCAUUAUAGGGAAACUCCGGAGAUUUUGAGGUGUGUCACCAGAUGAUGCAAGUGGUGUAAAAUCGGAUUAAUUUAUAUUUUCUAAAUGCGGAAAACCCCAUAACCCUCACAACAAUCCACAGGAGCAGGUUUGUGUGAGACUGAAGGGAAUCACAACAUCAUGAAUGUUUGGAAGCGAGAUUAAGAAUUUAAGAUGCAAAACUACAGUUGUUUUGUUGAACUGUAUGUUUUCAGUCAGGAUUGGAAAUUCUUGUGCAUUUACCUUUAGAUCGGCCCCACAGCUUCUGCUAUCAUCUGCACGGACGGAACGUAGCCCUUGUUUUUUUGUAAGAUGAGACCCUCUUACAAGAAUGCGAAUGAAGGGAUAUUUUUGGACAUUCCUGGGCUGUAAGAGUGGCCUCUUGAUCUGCCGCUAAAGUUUCCUUGGUUUCCAUGAAGUCCCCAGGCUUCGUAGCAAGCUGAUCUGUCCGUGUGAAGUCAACAGGGGUCUCACACACCCAGAUGCACACACCCUUGAACGUCAUGUCUCCAUGUUAGGAAGCCUCUCUAACACAGACGCAAAUAUCACUGCUGCUUUGUUUGUGAAAUGUAAUGUAGUGACUUCUUUUCAUUUCCAGUGUUUUCUUUUGUUCUGUACAGGAAUAUUUGCCAUUUAGGAGAUAAUUCACUUGCAAAACGAAUCUUUCAGGCAGCUUUCAGGUAGAAAUUGCCGUUCCCAGAGAAAUGGAGUGUCGUUAUACCCGUUAAAAUGGAUUGUACUUUUAUUCCAAACACAUGGUUUUCAGAUCUGUUUCAUGAGAUUGGCCAACUCUCUUUUUGCUUUAAAACUUGUUAAACUUCUAAACCUCUAAUCUGAGUCUCCGAGUUUUUUUUCUGUAGAUAUCUUUUGUCGAAUUUCUAUGUAAUCCAGUCACACAUCAGCAGUGUUGGGAAGGUUAUUCUGAAAAUGUAACAGGAUGCAGACUACAAGUUUAUUAAAAAUAUUUCAAUGACUUUACUUUGAAGUAAUGGAACUGAUUAAAUUUGAUUACUUUUUGAAUACUUUUCCAAAUUAAUGUUUUCAACUGUUAAUCAUUUUCAAACAUUUAAACCAGGAGGGUUCACCUUAACUCCACCCUAAACUCAAGAUUAUAAUCAUUGUAUUUUAAAACAAAGCCACCACAAAAUCAGAUUUUAGCACCUGUUUUUACUUUGAGAUCAUUCUGAUUUUGGAUUUUUUUUAUUUCCAGCACUGAGAACCAUUUUUAUCUCUUGCCAUGGUGGCAACUCUCAUACAGCUUGUAGCCUACAGCUUUCAGAGGCAAUGUGGAAAGAUUUAAUUGGCAGAUGUGGUGCACUGCAAAUCAGAAUAGCAUUGCUUUACUAAAUGGCCUUUACAGAUUUUCCCAACUGCUUACACACAAUCUUUACUUGUCACACAAUUUCUGAAACCGGACACACAAACACCAGAACCGCACACCAAAUCAGUGAAACCAGACACUAAUUCUCUGCCUUUGACUCAGUUUUCCAUUUAAUAAAGCACUUUUUGCAUAACACAAGACACAAUUCUCUAUAUAACACACAAAAAAAUGUAACAGGAGUUGGUAUAAAGGCAAAAGUGUUUACAAAUGUUUGCUUCUGAGUUGUGUUUGUGAUAUUCAGAUUGCAGCACGUCAUUUUGCAAGAGAUGUGAGGCAUUUUACAUUUUGUGUAGGUCCCUAUUAUACAAGCUAUUCCAGAUGUCUUCACAAUCUAUCAAUAUUUAAUAUCUUACCUACCUCUGAAAUGACUUUUCUCUUAGGCUGACGUCAGCACUACCUGUUGUUUUAACUCCGCCCAUCAAACAACCUCUGUUAAAUAUGAGUUAUGAGAAAAAUAAAUAAGAAGAAGAAAAACAGGUAGCGCCUAAAUUUCCAUCAUCUUCUUGGUUGACCCAUUUAAAAAAAAAAAUCCUGAAGAAAGAAAAAAAAAGAGGUUAAAGUAGGAGGUGAAUCAAUGAAACACUACACAAACAAACACACACAGGUGUACCUACACAACACUGUCUGUUGUAAAAUAGGCUCAGACAGGCUCAUGUGCUUUUGUUAGCCAUGCGCUCAAAGGUCUUUAAAUUAUCAUAAAAGGAAAACUAAAAAGAAACCUUUGUGACGUGCCUCUGUUGAUUGUGCAGGUUCUUAAUGAUUGAUAAGUGAUUGUACUGUGAGUCACACACAAAAUCACCAUGUGCUAUGUUUCCAUUAUCAGAUGUUCCUGAUAUAGUGCCAUGUUUAACAAACUCCUCAUGUCUUCCGAUACAAAAGGCAAAACCGCUGCAUAAGAGUAUAUUUGUUUAAAACAGAGCCUUCAGUAGCAUCGAUCUAAAACAUAUGAAAGCAUGAGAGAGUUCCUUAACACUGCGUGACGGUAAACAUGUGACGGCGACUUGACGUGCAAGAGAAUGGGAACUCUAGUUACCAAAGAGUCAUCAUUUACUGAGUUCUUGUUCCUGUUUCACUUGUUCAUGUAUACAGUGAUAAAAUAAUAAAAACCCUGCAGGAUGUUCUCGUGAAAGUUUAUAACAUGACCUUAAACUUGCUGGUGCAAGAUUGUAUGUGAUGCAUAAUGAUUCAAAUGAAAUAGAACUGAUGUUAUAUUUACAUGCAUUAUUUCUUAAUGACAGUUAUGAUGACGGGUUAUAUCAAAAAUCAUGAUUCAAUACAUUAUCUAACUUUGUUCCCAUAGAAGUUCUUUUUCUCAUGAGGUUGAAAUUUGAAUAACAUGAGUUUUCUAUAGAACUGAUGGGAUUCUAAAAGAAUGGAAGCAAU